rnacentral:rRNA from 1 species
AGAGUUUGAUCAUGGCUCAGAUUGAACGCUGGCGGCAUGCCUUACACAUGCAUGUCGAACGGUAACAGGUCUUCGGAUGCUGACGAAUGGCGAACGGGUGAGUAAUACAUCGGAACGUGCCUAGUAGUGGGGGAUAACUACUCGAAAGAGUGGCUAAUACCGCAUGAGAUCUACGGAUGAAAGCAGGGGAUCGCAAGACCUUGUGCUACUAGAGCGGCCGAUGGCAGAUUAGGUAGUUGGUGGGAUAAAAGCUUACCAAGCCGACGGUCUGUAGCUGGUCUGAGAGGACGAUCAGCCACACUGGGACUGAGACACGGCCCAGACUCCUACGGGAGGCAGCAGUGGGGAAUUUUGGACAAUGGGCGCAAGCCUGAUCCAGCAAUGCCGCGUGCAGGAUGAAGGCCUUCGGGUUGUAAACUGCUUUUGUACGGAACGAAAAGCCCUGGGUUAAUACCCUGGGGUCAUGACGGUACCGUAAGAAUAAGCACCGGCUAACUACGUGCCAGCAGCCGCGGUAAUACGUAGGGUGCAAGCGUUAAUCGGAAUUACUGGGCGUAAAGCGUGCGCAGGCGG